CCGGAGUGUAAAAUACAGAAACUGUGGUUGGACAGCAACAGACUCACCGACGGCUGCAUUGAUGAUCUGGUCUCCGCUCUCAGUACAAACCGCUCACUGAGGAUCCUGGACCUGAGGUCUAACUCCUUCACAGACGGCUCUGUCCCCGCUCUCCGCCGCCUCAUACAGACCUGCACCAGUCUGGAGGGGAUCAGGCUGAGAGGGAAUGGGUUCAGUUCAGAUGGAGAGAAUCAGCUGUCGUCACUGUGGGGAAUCAGACCUGAGCUGAGAGUGUCAGUGUGACACUGACU